ensembl:lncRNA
CCCCUUCCUCUAAGGCAAUAAACAGCACUUUCUCUCUUUCCUCCCUCUUUUUUUUUUUUUUUUUUAGGAUGAAAGCCAGCGGUUCAUCCUCCUUUCUUUCAGAGCUGUGCUCCUAAAAGCAAAACAGCACUCAGGGCUGCUGGCUACAAAGCAGAAUGCAUGCACACAACUGGUGGGACUAAAGGAGCAGCGCCAAGGAAGCAUUUAUCUUCAUGUUAUCUCCUAAUUUAAGAUCCAUUCUGGCAAAACUUCACUUCUUCUGCUUAAGCUGCAAUGUCAAGCUGCAAAUAUUCAGCAGCUGAGGAGCCGUUUAAAAUCAUUUGCCUUGAAGGAGAGCUAAGCAAUGAUGGGAAACACAACUAUUCAUUUGGGAUAGGAGAGGGGAGCAGUGAGGUGAGAGGGAAUAAAAAAGAAAUCCAACAGAGAAAGCAAACUGAAUGGAGGGAUUAUCAGUUCCUUUGUGUGUGUUCAUCUAUUUUUGUCCUAGAAGAAACCUCCUUAACAUGGCUGUGUAUUCUUUCACACUGCUCUCCUUCCUUUGCGGGACUUACUGAAUCCAUCACAGCACCUGGUUUCUCCCUGAGUUGGAUGUGUUAUGCCUACAAGACAGGACAAACUUGGCAGCUGUUGCACUGAAAGCAGGAGGCGAGCAGCACAGCAGCAGAGCCGGAUACUUUGUAUGUCCAGGGGCACAUGAGGGAUGACAUUUAUUUCUUUCGCUUCGGAUUUUGCUGGCAAAGCUGACUGCUUUCUUUCGGCCUUGACUGGGACAUCCAGACAUCCAGUGGGAAACAUUUUUUUUUUCUUCCCUUUUGGAUUGUAAGCGUAUCCUUUCUCCUAACACUUCUGUUGCUCAUGUUCUUAUUUGGAGAAAGCUUUUCUUUUUUUUUUUUUUUUUCUGAGGCUAUGAGACAAAGGAAACAUUUGGCUGGAGCGAAGUGUUCUUAGAGCAGAAAGGAAGCAGAGUCUGAGGCACAGAACUUCAAACAUUUUUCCACUUGCAAAGCAGCACGUGGCCAGAAGGGAAAGACCACAUCCCAGCCCCACUGCAGCUGAUGGGAAACACGCCACCAACUUCCAUGGGAUGGGAGAGCCACCUGAGGAAUCCAAACUCACUGGCCUGCCCCCCAUAAUAAAGGCUACUGAUAAUGUGUUAUUAGUGUUGCUGUAGCAGCUCGCAGUCAAGGGGGAGGACGUCUUCUGUCCUUGCGGGCCAUGCAAGCCCAGAUCAAAGAGACGCUCCUUGCCCCACAGAUCUUGAAAUCAAAGUUUAUGGCUCACCCAAUGGCUUAUCGAGAAACCACAUGGGGAAGGCACCCCGGCCUUGCAGCUGUGCCCUACUACACUCCUAGCCAGGCACAGUAUUUGCAAAACAGCCAUGUGUCUAUGCCUACCUGUGCCAGUCCAAAUGUGUAAUGCUAGAACAGAGCACCACAAGCACUCUGAAUUUAGCAGCAUGUUCAGAAGAGAAAAAAAGUGCUCGCCAAAAGUUGGAAAGAUAAAAAAAAAAAAAUUCAAUAAUUUGGUGAUACAGCACCGGAUGAUUCAGCAUCAAGGGAAAUACCAUCAUUAUCUUUGGCAUCAGAACCUCUAAAUCUAAGCUGAGAUGCUGGAAAAAUAAAAGUUGUUGUAAUCAGAAUCACAAAAGAGAAAAGGCCUUUUAAACUUCAUUGAGAUGCAACUUGGCUGGAAAUAAAAAGAGCAGAACCCGAAAGAAAGAAAUUCAAAAGGGAAAAGCUUGAAGCAAAGUUCCUUCAAGCAUGGGUGGCCGGGGCCACGUGAGGAGAAAUACACAUAGCUGACAAAUUUUGGUCUGAAACAUCCGCAGACAUGACAGCAGUAGCCUCUUACUGAAGCUAUUUGGAGCCGGCCACAGAUCUGGGCACUCAAGGCUCUGCCAAAGUCUCACUCAGCGGACACUGAGCACAUAUGCCACUGGUACACCCUGGGGACAUGUCACCUUGACUCACCCUGUGCUGUCACUAUGCUGGUUCUGCAGCCUCUAGCUACACAUGCCAGUGCCCUAGAGCUGUGGCAGGAGGUUGCAGUGGUAAGGCAAAGGUGAAAAACAUCUCCUGAAAGUGAAAAUCGAUUUUGCUAAUGCUAUCCUGGCCAGAACUCUCAGCCCACUUCUCCACAUUAAAGAAGGAUUUUAUGGAAGAUUGGGAUGGCAGUAGGGGAUGACCACAUUCCAUCGUCUUGAUCCAGGAAGACUUUGUCUGCUCACAAGCUCAG